ACAAUGGGCGCAAGCCUGAUGCAGCGACGCCGCGUGCGGGAUGACGGCCUUCGGGUUGUAAACCGCUUUUGAUCGGGAGCAAGCCUUCGGGUGAGUGUACCUUUCGAAUAAGCACCGGCUAACUACGUGCCAGCAGCCGCGGUAAUACGUAGGGUGCAAGCGUUAUCCGGAAUUAUUGGGCGUAAAGGGCUCGUAGGCGGUUCGUCGCGUCCGGUGUGAAAGUCCAUCGCUUAACGGUGGAUCUGCGCCGGGUACGGGCGGGCUGGAGUGCGGUAGGGGAGACUGGAAUUCCCGGUGUAACGGUGGAAUGUGUAGAUAUCGGGAAGAACACCAAUGGCGAAGGCAGGUCUCUGGGCCGUUACUGACGCUGAGGAGCGAAAGCGUG
rnacentral:rRNA from 1 species